rnacentral:rRNA from 1 species
AUUGAACGCUGGCGGCAGGCCUAACACAUGCAAGUCGAGCGGAUGAAGGGAGCUUGCUCCUGGAUUCAGCGGCGGACGGGUGAGUAAUGCCUAGGAAUCUGCCUGGUAGUGGGGGAUAACGUCCGGAAACGGGCGCUAAUACCGCAUACGUCCUGAGGGAGAAAGUGGGGGAUCUUCGGACCUCACGCUAUCAGAUGAGCCUAGGUCGGAUUAGCUAGUUGGUGGGGUAAAGGCCUACCAAGGCGACGAUCCGUAACUGGUCUGAGAGGAUGAUCAGUCACACUGGAACUGAGACACGGUCCAGACUCCUACGGGAGGCAGCAGCGGGGAAUAUUGGACAAUGGGCGAAAGCCUGAUCCAGCCAUGCCGCGUGUGUGAAGAAGGUCUUCGGAUUGUAAAGCACUUUAAGUUGGGAGGAAGGGCAGUAAGUUAAGACCUUGCUGUUUUGACGUUACCAACAGAAUAAGCACCGGCUAACUUCGU